GAAGUCGGAAUCGCUAGUAAUCGUGGAUCAGAAUGCCACGGUGAAUACGUUCCCGGGCCUUGUACACACCGCCCGUCACACCAUGGGAGUGGGUUGCAAAAGAAGUAGGUAGCUUAACCUCCGGGAGGGCGCUUACCACUUUGUGAUUCAUGACUGGGGUGAAGUCGUAACAAGGUAACCGUAGGGGAACCUGCGGUUGGAUCACCUCCUUACCUGAAGAUAC
rnacentral:rRNA from 1 species